CCCCUCGCAGGGUCACAUCUGGAGAGUUUCCAGUACUCUACCAGUCUCGGCUACGGGCGGGGGGGAGAGUCAAGUAGAGGCCUACCCAUUCCAUUCCUAGCUUGGCCAGUAGCUAGCAAGUGGAAGGCAAUCUGCUACAAGC